rnacentral:rRNA from 1 species
AGCAGCCGCGGUAAUUCCAGCUCCAAUAGCGUAUAUUAAAGUUGUUGCAGUUAAAAAGCUCGUAGUUGAAUUUCGGGAUCAAUAUGUCGGUCGUGCCAUCGGUACGUACUGGUAUCAUUGGUUUCUCCUUUCUGACGAACCAUGAUGUCAUUAAUUUGGUGUUAUGGGGAGUUAGGACUGUUACUUUGAAAAAAUUAGAGUGUUUAAAGCAGGCUUUAGCUUGAAUACAUUAGCAUGGAAUAAUGAAAUAGGACGUUCGAACCUAUUUUGUUGGUUUCUAGGAUCAACGUAAUGAUUAAUAGGGAUAGUUGGGGGCAUUAGUAUUCAAUUGUCAGAGGCGAAAUUCUUGGAUUUAUUGAAGACUAACUACUGCGAAAGCAUUUGCCAAGGAUGUUUUCAUUAAUCAAGAACGAAAGUUAGGGGAUCGAAGACGAUCAGAUACCGUCGUAG